rnacentral:rRNA from 1 species
GACGAACGCUGGCGGCGUGCUUAACACAUGCAAGUCGAACGAGCGUCGAACGGGUGAGUAAUACGUGAGUAACCUACCCUCUUUUUGGGAUAAGCCUUGGAAACGGGGUCUAAUACCGAAUAACGGGGGAUGGGCUCGCGGCCUAUCAGGUUGUUGGUGGGGUGAUGGACUACAACGGCGGUGACGGGUAGGCGGCCUGAGAGGGUGACCGGGCAAAUUGGAAAUGGGAUACGGCCCAGAGUGCUGCGGGAGGGAGGAAUGGGGGAUAAUGGGCAAAGGGCGGAGGCCUGAUGCAGCGACGCAGGGUGGGGGAUGAAGGCUUUCGGGUUAUAAACAUCUUGCGCUAUCGAAGGGGUAGGUGGAGAAGAAGCGCCGGCUAACUACGUGCCAGCAGCCGCGGUAAUAC